rnacentral:rRNA from 1 species
UAAAAAAAGGUAAGCUACUAAGAGCGAAUGGUGGAUGCCUUGACUGGUAAAGGCGAUGAAGGACGUACUAGACUGCGAUAAGCUACGGGGAGCUGUCAAGAAGCUUUGAUCCGUAGAUUUCCGAAUGGGGCAACCCAAUGUAUAGAGAUAUACAUUACCUAUAUAGGAGCGAACGAGGGGAAUUGAAACAUCUUAGUACCCUCAGGAAAAGAAAUCAAUAGAGAUUGCGUCAGUAGCGGCGAGCGAAAGCGCAAGAGGGCAAACCCAGUGCUUGCACUGGGGGUUGUAGGACUGCAAUGUGCAAGAGCUGAGUUUAGCAGAACAUUCUGGAAAGUAUAGCCAUAGAGGGUGAUAGUCCCGUAUGCGAAAAACAAAGCUUAGCUAGCAGUAUCCUGAGUAGGGCGGGACACGAGGAAUCCUGUCUGAAUCCGGGUCGACCACGAUCCAACCCUAAAUACUAAUACCAGAUCGAUAGUGCACAAGUACCGUGAGGGAAAGGUGAAAAGAACUGAGGUGAUCAGAGUGAAAUAGAACCUGAAACCAUUUGCUUACAAUCAUUCAGAGCACUAUGUAGCAAUACAGUGUGAUGGACUGCCUUUUGCAUAAUGAGCCUGCGAGUUGUGGUGUCUGGCAAGGUUAAGCAAACGCGAAGCCGUAGCGAAAGCGAGUCUGAAUAGGGCGCUUAGUCAGAUGCUGCAGACCCGAAACGAAGUGAUCUAUCCAUGAGCAAGUUGAAGCUAGUGUAAGAACUAGUGGAGGACUGAACCCAUAGGCGUUGAAAAGCCCCGGGAUGACUUGUGGAUAGGGGUGAAAGGCCAAUCAAACUUCGUGAUAGCUGGUUCUCUCCGAAAUAUAUUUAGGUAUAGCGUUGUGUCGUAAUAUAAGGGGGUAGAGCACUGAAUGGGCUAGGGCAUACACCAAUGUACCAAACCCUAUCAAACUCCGAAUACCUUAUAUGUAAUCACAGCAGUCAGGCGGCGAGUGAUAAAAUCCGUCGUCAAGAGGGAAACAACCCAGACUACCAGCUAAGGUCCCUAAAUCUUACUUAAGUGGAAAACGAUGUGAAGUUACUUAAACAACCAGGAGGUUGGCUUAGAAGCAGCCAUCCUUUAAAGAAAGCGUAAUAGCUCACUGGUCUAGUGAUUUUGCGCGGAAAAUAUAACGGGGCUAAAGUAAGUACCGAAGCUGUAGACUUGCACACAACUUAGAUUAUUUAAGUUUAGAAUAUGAGAAACUAAGUUAUAUGUUUAGUUAUAUUUUUACUGAUUUUUAUAGAGUAAAGAUAGAAAUAAAACUUAAUAAAAUCAGUAAAAAUAUUCUUAGGCUAAAGUUAAGUAGUUUAAGUUGUGUGCAAGUGGUAGGAGAGCGUUCUAUUUGCGUCGAAGGUAUACCGGUAAGGAGUGCUGGAGCGAAUAGAAGUGAGCAUGCAGGCAUGAGUAGCGAUAAUUAAUGUGAGAAUCAUUAACGCCGUAAACCCAAGGUUUCCUACGCGAUGCUCGUCAUCGUAGGGUUAGUCGGGUCCUAAGUCGAGUCCGAAAGGGGUAGACGAUGGCAAAUUGGUUAAUAUUCCAAUACCAACAUUAGUGUGCGAUGGAAGGACGCUUAGGGCUAAGGGGGCUAGCGGAUGGAAGUGCUAGUCUAAGGUUGUAGGAGGUUAUACAGGCAAAU